UAACGCGAAGAACCUUACCAGCCUUUGACAUGUCCUGGACGGAUUGCAGAGAUGCGAUCUUCUCUUCGGAGCCGGGAACACAGGUGCUGCAUGGCCGUCGUCAGCUCGUGUCGUGAGAUGUUGGGUUAAGUCCCGCAACGAGCGCAACCCUCGCCCCUAGUUGCCAUCAUUGAGUUGGGCACUCUAGGGGGACUGCCGGCGAUAAGCCGAGAGGAAGGUGGGGAUGACGUCAAGUCCUCAUGGCCCUUACGGGCUGGGCUACACACGUGCUACAAUGGCGGUGACAGUGGGAAGCGAAGGGGCGACCUGGAGCCAAUCCCCAAAAGCCGUCUCAGUUCGGAUUGCACUCUGCAACUCGAGUGCAUGAAGGCGGAAUCGCUAGUAAUCGUGGAUCAGCAUGCCACGGUGAAUACGUUCCCGGGUCUUGUACACACCGA
rnacentral:rRNA from 1 species